rnacentral:snoRNA from 1 species
GUCCUUUUGUAGUUCAUAAGCGUGAUGAUUGGGUGUUCACGCUGCUGUGUGAGAUGUGCCACCCAUGAACCUUGUUACGCUUCUGGCACAUGACCCGUCUGACG